rnacentral:misc_RNA from 1 species
UACGGAGGAUUCGAGCGUUAUCCGGAUUUAUUGGGUUUAAAGGGUGCGUAGGCGGAUUAUUAAGUCAGCGGUGAAAGUUUGCGGCUCAACCGUAAAAUUGCCGUUGAAACUGGUAGUCUAGAGUGCGAAUGAGGCAGGCGGAAUGUGACGUGUAGCGGUGAAAUGCUUAGAUAUGUCACAGAACACCGAUUGCGAAGGCAGCUUGCUAGAACGCUACUGACGCUGAGGCACGAAAGCGUGGGGAUCAAACAGG